rnacentral:rRNA from 1 species
GGGCCCGCACAAGCGGUGGAGCAUGUGGUUUAAUACGUCACUAACCGUAGAACCUCACCCAGGCUUGACAUCCACUGUAAGUCUAUGAAAGUGGUACCCCUGUAUGGAAACAUGCAGCAGUGAGACAGGUGUUGCAUGGCUGUCGUCAGCUCGUGUCGUGAGAUGUUGGGUUAAGUCCCGCAACGAGCGCAACCCUCAUCCGAUGUUGCCAGCGUAAAGUCGGGGACUCUUCGGAAACUGCCCGUGCAAGCGGGAGGAAGGUGGGGAUGACGUCAAGUCAGCAUGGCCCUUACGCCUGGGGCUACACACAUGCUACAAUGGACGUUAACAAAGGGCAGCAAGACCGCGAGGUCAAGCUAAUCUCAUAAAUACGUCCUCAGUUCGGAUUGUAGUCUGCAACUCGACUACAUGAAGUCGGAAUCGCUAGUAACCGCAGGUCAGCUAUACUGCGGUGAAUACGUUCCCGGGCCUU